rnacentral:siRNA from 1 species
GCGUAAACUACGAGACUGCAGAAG